rnacentral:tRNA from 1 species
GCGGGCGUCGUAUAGUGGCCAUUAUGUCACCCUUCCAAGGUGAAGAUGUGGGUUCGAUUCCCAUCGCCCGCUCCA